rnacentral:rRNA from 1 species
UACGUAGGCAGCAAGCGUUGUUCGGAAUUACUGGCGUAAAGAGUGUGUAGGCGGUGCUCUAAGUUCGGUGUGAAAUCUCCCGGCUCAACUGGGAGGGUGCGCCGAAAACUGGGGUGCUGGAGCGCGGGAGAGGAAAGCGGAAUUCCUGGUGUAGCGGUGAAAUGCGUAGAUAUCAGGAGGAACACCGGCGGUGUAGACGGCUUUCUGGACCGUAGCUGACGCUGAGACACGAAAGCGUGGGUAGCAAACAGG